AUUGAACGCUGGCGGCAUGCUUUACACAUGCAAGUCGAACGGUAACAGGUCUUCGGAUGCUGACGAGUGGCGAACGGGUGAGUAAUACAUCGGAACGUGCCUAGUAGUGGGGGAUAACUACUCGAAAGAGUAGCUAAUACCGCAUGAGAUCUACGGAUGAAAGCAGGGGACCUUCGGUCCUUGUGCUACUAGAGCGGCUGAUGGCAGAUUAGGUAGUGGGUGGGGUAAAGGCUUACCAAGCAUGCGAUCUGUAGCUGGUCUGAGAGGACGACCAGCCACACUGGGACUGAGACACGGCCCAGACUCCUACGGGAGGCAGCAGUGGGGAAUUUUGGACAAUGGGCGAAAGCCUGAUCCAGCAAUGCCGCGUGCAGGAUGAAGGCCCUCGGGUUGUAAACUGCUCUUGUACGGAACGAAAAGCCUGGGGCUAAUAUCCUCGGGUCAUGACGGUACUGUAAGAAUAAGCACCGGCUAACUACGUGCCAGCAGCCGCGGUAAUAC
rnacentral:rRNA from 1 species